AUUGAACGCUGGCGGCAGGCCUAACACAUGCAAGUCGAACGAGUGGCGGACGGGUGAGUAAUGUCUGGGACACUGCCUGAUGGAGGGGGAUAACUACUGGAAACGGUAGCUAAUACCGCAUACCAUCGGAUGUGCCCAGAUGGGAUUAGCUAGUAGGUGGGGUAACGGCUUACCUAGGCGACGAUCCCUAGCUGGUCUGAGAGGAUGACCAGCCACACUGGAACUGAGACACGGUCCAGACUCCUACGGGAGGCAGCAGUGGGGAAUAGUGCACAAUGGGCGCAAGCCUGAUGCAGCAAUGCCGCGUGUAUGAAGAAGGCCUUCGGGUUGUAAAGUACUUUCAGCGGGGAGGCGUUACCCGCAGAAGAAGCACCGGCUAACUCCGUGCCAGCAGCCGCGGUAAUAC
rnacentral:rRNA from 1 species